UACAGAGGGGGCAAGCGUUGUUCGGAAUUACUGGGCGUAAAGGGCGCGUAGGCGGCCUUCUAAGUCAGACGUGAAAUCCCCGGGCUCAACCCGGGAACUGCGUCUGAUACUGGGGGGCUUGAAUCCGGGAGAGGGAUGUGGAAUUCCAGGUGUAGCGGUGAAAUGCGUAGAUAUCUGGAGGAACACCGGUGGCGAAGGCGGCAUCCUGGACCGGUAUUGACGCUGAGGCGCGAAAGCCAGGGGAGCAAACGGG
rnacentral:rRNA from 1 species